GAUCCUCUCGAUGCCUCCGAUUACCAAUGCAAGGCACACUGGAGAGGUCACCGCUGGGUGACGAAUGGCUGUUUGUAGAGGCAACAGGGCAUGACAAGGAGAGAAUACGGCUGGUCAUGAAUAUCAUGGCGGCCAAUCUCUUCGAUCGCGGCUAUCUGAUCGAACCCGUUCAGGUGGAGGACUCCCAGGGGCACACCCUUACCCCCCAACCCUCGGGGGACCGGAUCUUUGUCCCGGGAAACCUCCACACACGUGCAACAAUGGCCGGUACAGACGGAGGCAAUGCCGAGAGGCGGAGCAAACCCGAGAAAACCGGUCCCAGUUCGGAUUGAGGUCUGCAACUCGACCUCAUGAAGUCGGAAUCGCUAGUAAUCGCAUAUCAGAACGAUGCGGUGAAUACGUUCCCGGGCCUUGUACACACCGCCCGUCACACCACGAAAGUUUGUUGUACCCGAAGUCGGUGCCUUAACCUCGCAAG
rnacentral:rRNA from 1 species